rnacentral:lncRNA from 1 species
GAUUGGAGCUGGCAGUGCUCUUGCUGAUCACCCAUUUCAUUUUCUCCUCAUUUGACACAUAGGCUGAUGAAAGUCCAAAAAAAGGGACAUCACUUAAUUUUAGAGUUUGAUUACUACCCUGACUUUAUAUGUUUUCCUAACCAGAAUUUCCUUACAUAAAAGGAAAAGAUUAAGCAAAAAUGAGAGCAGCAAAAAGGAAGCUCUGGUCUUAAAGAGAGUGUGAGUCGUUUCUAUUUUUGUUCAAGGCAGAUCCUUACUGAGAGGGUGCUGAGGAGGAGACCAUUGUUUUCUUGGAGAGUGGACUUUCAUGGCACCGUGCCCUGUCUGACCUGAUAUUUUUAUCAGAGUCUGGGAUGAAGUUAGGGAAGACACUCUUAUCAAAUGUGUGAACGACGAAGUUGGGAGUGGAAAAAUGUGUGGAAGGAGAAAAUCAGGAUCCCGGAAGAUGCAACAGUUUCGAAUUCCAGGCCAAAUUUAAUGAGAAGACAAUUUAAAAAAAGCAAAAGGUAAAAUGUGCUCCCUCCGUGUUUGCAACACAAUACGCACACCAUCAAUUUUCUGUAAGACUCCGGGGACCUGACAGCAUUCUCUCUUCAAGUGCCAGCCCUCUCUUGGUUAUUUCCUGCCGCUGCCUGUGUCUGAUGGCGAAAUGUGCUCACAGGGAAACAAGGGGAGGGAGGCCUCUCUCUUCUGCCAUCAGUCCCAAAGCUGGGAUUCACGCCAACUUUUUCCUCUGUCCAUUUGGAUGCUCAAAGGUCAGCACUGAGCAGAGAGGACAGAGGGAGCGGAAUGAGUGUCCUCCACCGGAAUGCCAGGCUCUGAUGGCUGUGUUUAGAACCGAGGUGAAGUCCCUGGCAGAGCAAGGACUGGUAGGGAGAAGAUGACAUUCAUCUGGCGUGACAGCAUGACGCGUUUUAUAAAACACAAUCCCAGGGAGCUGGCUGCAGCUGAUCUGAUCAGACCAGGCAGUAACAGAGGAGGAAGGGAAUCGGAGGUGCGUUGAUUUCCCCAGGGAGAUCAAUGGAAAAACAAGUGAAGCCUGGACAGGUAGGGGCAGAUUCUAGCCUCGGCUCGUCUGCUCUGAGUGGAGCCAUUUGGGGCAAAUGACUUAACUUUUUUAUUUUGCUUUUUAGGGCAUGUGGAAAUUCCCAGGCUCGGGGCUGAAUUGGAGCUAUAGCUGCCAGCCUAUGCCACAGCCACAAUGCUGGAUCCUUAACCUGCUGAAUGAGGCCGGGGAUCAAACCUGCAUCAUCAUGGAUACAAGUCAGGUUCGUUGCUGUUGCACCAUGAUGGGAACUCCCCCCUCCGCCCCUUUUUCUUUUGCAUUUUGGGGCUGAACCUGAGGUGUAUGGAAGCUCCCAGGCUAUGACUUAACUUCUUAUAGGAAAGAGGAAGGAGUGGUAGCGGGUGCUCUCCAGAGCCCCAUCACACCUGGCAUUUAGGGACCCUCUGCAAUCAGGAAACAUCACAUUGAUUCUGCCUCAGACAAUCAGAAAGCCCACAGCAGACUGAGUUGUGUCCACCCCAAAAAGAUAGGUCCAUUUCCCAAUUCCCAGAAGAAUGAAUACAACUUUAUUUGGAAAAAAGAGUCUUUGCAGAUGUACGGAAGUCGAGGAUCUGGAGUUGAGACCAUCCUGGAUUAGCCGGAUGGGCCCUAAAACCAAGGACCACUGUCUUCAGAAGAGAGAGACACGCAGAGGAGCAGGUGAUGUGAAGAUGGAGGCAGAGGUUGCAGUGAUGGGGCCACACGCCCGAGAAUGUCAGGCAGCUCGGUGGCAGGAUGGCCCUGAGAACACCGGCUUUCAGACUUCUAGCCUCCAGAACAGUCAGAGAAUAAAUUCUCCCGUUUUUUGAAGCCACCCAGUUUGUGGUCAUUUGUUCCAGCAGCCACAGGAAACUAACAUUCCCCCCAAAACAUAGCAAGGAGGACCUGUGUCAGGAAUGACGCAAAGCUGUGGUUUUUCAAAUUCCAUUUGAUUUUUCUGAAUUGAGACCCUUAAGCUUUUUUUUUUUUUCCCUAGAGUUUCCUUCCCAGGAGCAUGAGCACUUGAUAAUGGAUCUCCCGGAACAUUUGAACACAGAUAGCUUUCCUGCCUGCUUCCCCUAAAGGAUAGCACGCCACUGUCCCCUUUUGGCCAUAGCGUGGGCAAUGCCGACCAGUGGGAAGAUAGCUGGCUGGCUUUCUGCACCCACAGGCUUGCUCACCUUUGUGGAGCUAUCAGAAGAGGUGGCCUUUUACACAGAGACAAUAUGUGAAAGGCUGUCAAAAUAAACAAUGUGGCCUCCGGAGAGCUGUCAGGGCAGGACGAGUCUCUGAUCCAGGCAGAAGCUCUGGACAGUGACCCUUUGGGACUCUGCAGGCCAUCACAUGAGGGACCUACAGUUCGGUGCUGGAGGUUAUGCCUCUCUGCUCAUGCCUCUGUCCUGGUCUUUGGAUAUUUCCUUCCUUCCCGAGUGAGGUGGAGUAAGAAGCUUUUGAUUCAAAGAGAAACUAGCUCCUCAUUUAGCCCUGGCCCUUUCCAGUCGUGUGAGCUUGGGUACAUCCUUCACCCUGCAGAGACUUUCUAGCCUCAUCCUUGGUGUGAGGGUGAUGAGAAGAGCCACUUUGCAGGGGAUGAUUAAGUAUAUGCUGAAAUCACUGCAGCUAAUAUCACUGAAUGUUUAUUACGUGUUGGGGGCGAUGCUAAGCACAGGGCAAGUAUUAUCUAGUAAUUCUCCCAUGGCUGAGACAGACACGGAGAUCACCUCUCCUUAAUACAAGAAGAAACAAAGACUGGAAGAAAAAAAUCAAGUAACUUGUGCCACACUAUCUAACCAGUGUGGGGGCAAAGCUAGACUCAUGCCCCAAACCGCCUCAUGCAAAACUUGUUCUCCAACCUCCCAGCUGUUACAUGGGUAAAUUUCUUAUUCUGGUCUGCCUUUGUUGCAGACGUAAGAAUUUUUUUUUCUUGCUGCAAUAUCUUUCCCCCACCCCUUUUUGUAUUAGAGUAGGGCAGGGGUGGCAAAUUAUGCCUUACCUGGCCCUCCACCUGUUUGUGGAAAUAAAGUAUUAUUAGAAUACACC